CUCUGUGACUCCUACGGGAGGCAGCAGUGGGGAAUAUUGCACAAUGGGGGAAACCCUGAUGCAGCCAUGCCGCGUGUGUGAAGAAGGCCUUCGGGUUGUAAAGCACUUUCAGUAGGGAGGAAGGUAGUGUAGUUAACACCUGCAUUAUUUGACGUUACCUACAGAAGAAGCACCGGCUAACUCCGUGCCAGCAGCCGCGGUAAUACGGAGGGUGCGAGCGUUAAUCGGAAUUACUGGGCGUAAAGCGCAUGCAGGCGGCCUGUUAAGUCAGAUGUGAAAGCCCGGGGCUUAACCUCGGAAUUGCAUUUGAAACUGGCAGGCUAGAGUCUUGUAGAGGGGGUAGAAUUUCAGGUGUAGCGGUGAAAAUGCGUAGAGAUCUGAAGGAAUACCAGUGGCGAAGGCGGCCCCCUGGACAAAGACUGACGCUCAGAUGCGAAAGCGUGGGGAGCAAACAGGAUUAGAUACCCUGGUGG
rnacentral:rRNA from 1 species